rnacentral:misc_RNA from 1 species
CAAGUUGGAAUUGUCAGUCGUCUGGCUUCUCAGACUUUCCAUUACAUCGCAUUGUUUUCAAUUCUCUUCUAAGAAAAACUUAACAGCAAUUUGUACAAAUAUUUAUUUUCUAUAAAAUUGUAAAUUUAAAAAUUAUUAAUUAAUUAAGUUUUUUCAAAGAAUUUUCUAGUCUCUAGAAGUUGUGUAUUAAGUGUUGUAAAAAUUUGUGAAAACAUGGAUCUCUUCAACAGUAUAUAUUUAAUUGUUUUAUGAAUAAUUUACCAGUAAAUGACAAAAAUGUUGAUUACUAAGAAAUACAUCAUCUUAAAUUAUUUUAUUAUAAAUAGUAUUAUUUAUCAAAUUACGGCGAACACAAAAUCUUUCAAUGAAUUGGAUGAUGAUAUAGUUCCGGAUGAAUUUUUUAAUGAAAAUUCAUAUAAAAAUGGUGCAGACCUGAUGAUAGUUAAAACUAAACCAAAAGAAAUUCUGUCAAAAACAACAGAUAUUAUUGAUACAACAACGAAACAAGAUAGUACUGAAACUACAGAUAAUCCUUAUACUACUGAUGAUUCGUCAACUCCUACUUCAACUGAUAAACCUGUAGAAGAAUCGGUAGUGACUAAUUAUACAUUAUGUGAAGAAAUGCAGUAUGAAGACAUAAAAGAAGAGAUAUCUAGUUAUGAAAACAAACUGGGUGUAAAGUCUACCUUGACAUCAAUGAAUACAAGCCCUGAUACAAAUUUCACGGUCGGUGAUGUUGUGAUAAAAUCUUCUAAUGAAUCAUCGCUAGUAGUGGCUUGGGAACCUAAAGAAGGAUAUGAAGUUCAGUGGUAUAUUAUUGAAUGGUACAACGCCAAAGAAAACAAGCUUGUGGCAGCUUGCCGCACCGAUAAUGAAACAUUUAACUAUACAAUAACUCAUUUAUUUGCUUGCACAACAUAUGAAGUUCGAGUGUUUCCAGCUACUAAUACCACUCGUGGACAUCAUAAACUUGUAAUAGAUAGUACAGCUUUAAUAGUUGAUAAGGAUUCUUUGAAGUUAACAAGUGGUCCUGAUUGGAUAAAAGUUUCCUGGGCUUUACCAAACAAUGAUUGUAUUAGCAAAAAUAAUUUAACUUACUGUAAUUUUAAUGGUUGCCAAACUGUUCAAACUACUACAACGGCAUAUAAUGUAACUAAUGCAAUCCCAUGCACAAAUUAUAAUUUUACUCUUACUAUAAUUCGUAAGAAUGGUGAAUUUGGAAAUGCUUAUGUCAACGGAUCAACAGAAUUUAUGAAACCUGGAGCACCUUCUUCUGUAUCAACAGAAACUGGAAAGGAUUCAUUAACAGUUAUGUGGACAGCUCCAGUUGGUGCAACUUGUGUGUUUGAAUAUCGAAUAUUAAUCUAUCGACAAACCUCGCCAAAAGAUUUUUUAAUACAAAAUACCACAGAAACUUCAAUCACUUUUUUUGGAUUAAAGACUUGCAGUACAUAUGAAGUUACUAUUAUUCCUGUAGACAAAAAUGGUAAUAACAAUGAACCUGCAAAAAUCACUUCCAAUAGAACGUUGGCACCUGUUCCUGAUAGUCCUUAUUUCAAGUUAGCGAUACCCACUAAUCGUUCUAUAAACAUUACAUGGAAGUUACCAUUAAAUGAAUUCAAUAAUUGCGAGGAUAUUCAAAUAACAACUGAAUGUGUUUCUACAAAAACUUUAGGUCACGGCUAUUCUGGAUUGAACGCAAAUUCUUCAACAAUUAUUUUCAAUGAAAUUACAACGAUUACAGUUGAGAGUCUUUCACCUUAUACAGAAUAUAAUUGUUAUAGUAUUGCUUCUAAUUCGCAAGGAAAUAGUAGCCAAAGUCAACCUAUUCCUGUACAAACUUUAGAAGACGCACCAUCUUCACCAAAAUUAUCAUGUCACAAUUUUACUGACAAUCAAUUUGUUCUUUCUUGGGAGCAACCAGAAUAUUUACCAGGACAUAUAAAAAUGUUUGAAGUCAAUUUGACUUGGUACUAUAAAUUUCAUAUUCCAGUUUGGUGUGGAAACAUUACUCAUUUCAGAAAAAAUAUUACUGGUAUAUCAGGAGAUUCAUCAUCAUUGGUUUAUAAUUAUGCAAGUCCUUAUUCUGUUUACGAGGCUAAUAUUAGAGCCAAGACAGAGGCUGGAUGGGGAAAUUAUAGUGACAAUAAAGUAAUUUUUGAAACGGCACCAGGAGCUUCCGGACCAGUAUCCGAUUUAACUUUCAAUCUAUCCAUGAAUUCUUUUGAUCCUAACAUUCUUGAUGCUUACUUAAUUUGGGGACUUCCUUGUUAUAUUAAUGGACCUGAAAUUGAGUUGUUCAAUAUAACAGGAGUUGGUCAGAGAAAAAAUUUUGAAAACCAUUACAUCAAUGAAACUUUUAGUACACCUUGUUUCAAUGAUACUUGUAGAAAAAAAUUAUCAUUGAAAGACGAAUAUUCAUAUCUAUUUAACGUAUCUGGAAAAGUUAAAGAUUACAAGGAAUUGGGUGAAAUUGUAGAAAUACAAGGCUCAUUUCCAGCAGGCAUUCCACCAUUACCACCAGAUAAUUACACUAAUCAAAUUACCAUUGAUCCAUUCAAAGCACGUAGAACAACAUCUACUGCAACUAUUCUACUUCCACUAUUUCCUAAUACCAAUGGAGAUAUUAAAUGUUAUGCUAUUAUUGUUGCCAAAGCUGGAUAUAAUAAUGAAAGUUUUUCAAGGAUUAAUACUGAUCCUGAAACGUAUUUAGACAACACUGCAUCCUGGUUUGAAUCCAAACAAAAAGAUUUUACGAUACCAUAUCAAGCCAUCAAAUUCUGUGCUAAUACACAUAUUUCGUACGUUGUGGAUUAUGGAAGAUUGAAAGCACUUAAAUUUGUGAUUGGCGAUGAUAUGGAGACAUGUGAAGAAUUAUCAAUGAAAAAAUAUGAAAGAUCUUACUGUAAUGGGCCAUUAAAUCCUGAUGAGUGGUAUGAUGUGAGAAUGAGAGCUUUUACUACUGGUGGAUAUCGAGAUUCUAAAAUAUUUGUUGUUAAGACAAAUGCAGAAAUACAAGUAUCAACCGUCAUUGGAUCAAUUUUAGGUGUACUUUCAUUGGGAAUUUUGAUUACUAUGAUGCUUUUGAUACGAAAAUGUUCAUUACAGAUAGUAUUAAGACGAUUUUUACACUCAGACAUGCCUGGAUCACCAGUUCCAACUCCAUUUAAUAGACGAAAAUUUAUAGCCCACUGUCAACAAUUAGCUGAUAAUCCAGGAAAAUUGAGCAAUGAGUUUCAGUUAUUACAAACAUUGAGUGUUGAUUUACAAAUGCCAGCCAACACUGCGUGUUUACAGGCAAAUCGAAAAAAGAAUCGUUAUACGGAUGUUUUACCAUAUGAUUUUUCAAGAGUUAAGUUAAAUAUCAUUGAUAACGAUCCAAAUACUGAUUACAUAAACGCGUCAUUCAUUAAGGGUUUUAGUGGUAUGGAAGAAUACAUAGCAUGUCAAGGACCAAAAGAGGAAACAACUUAUGAUUUUUGGAGAAUGAUUGAUCAAUAUGAUGUCAAAAUAAUCGUUAUGUUGACUCAAUUGGUCGAGAAAAAUAAAGAAAAAUGUCAUCAGUAUUUUCCUACAAUACGUGAAACUUUUACAUAUGAAAAUUUUUCAAUUCGAUGUUCUUCCGAACUUGAUUAUCGAACUUUUACUCAAAGAACAUUGAUUUUACAAAAAAACGACGAAAAAAGAAAUAUUAUUCAUCUACAUUUCAAAGAUUGGCCGGAUCAUGAUGUUCCUGAGGAUUAUGAUCCGAUGAUAAAUUUCUGUCAAACUGUAAGACGUAAUGCUGCUAUUAAUCGUGGUCUUAUUGUCAUUCACUGCAGUGCAGGGAUUGGUAGAACAGGAACCCUUAUUGCGAUAGAUAUUUUAUUGCAACACAUCAAAGAAAAUAGAAAAUUAGAUGUCUUCGGCACAGUUUAUAGAUUAAGACAUCAUAGAAUAAAUAUGGUACAAAGAGAAACCCAAUACGCUUAUAUUUAUAAUUGCAUAAGACAAGUAUUGAAAAAUCCUUAUUUUUCAAAAAGUUAUAAACCACCAUCAGUGGAUCCUAUAACAGAUAAUAAUUUUAAUAAUAAGAAAAAUGACAACUCGAUGACAAAUCUUGUAAGCAGCCUUGAAACUCAUAACUUAACACGUUAAAAAUUCUUUGUCUACUGCAGAAUGAGAGUCACGAAACGACAUAAAUAAUGAAAUAAAAAUAAACUUACAAGUCAGGUACAACACAAUAAGUUAUCCAAUAAAUAAAAGUAAUUUAUAUUUAGAAGAAAAACAAACGUUAUUAUCGACAACAUUAUCAAAAAACUUGAAUAGCGAUAGUAGAACUAAUAAUUUUUCCAUACUUCAUCAUU